rnacentral:tRNA from 1 species
UCCUUAGUGGCUCAGACAGUAAAGCGUCUGUCUACAAUGCGGGAGACCUGGGUUCAAACCCUGGAUAAGGAA